UUUUUGAUUUUUUUUAUCAUGAUAUU
rnacentral:sRNA from 1 species